GGACUACAAGGGUUUCUAAUCCUGUUCGCUCCCCACGCUUUCGCUCCUCAGUGUCAGGUAAGGCCCAGAGAACCGCCUUCGCCACCGGUGUUCCUCCCGAUAUCUGCGCAUUUCACCGCUACACCGGGAAUUCCAUUCUCCCCUACCUACCUCUAGUCUGCCCGUAUCCACUGCAAGCCCGAGGUUAAGCCUCGGGAUUUCACAGCGGACGUGGCAGACCACCUACGAGCUCUUUACGCCCAAUAAUUCCGGACAACGCUUGCGCCCUACGUGUUACCGCGGCUGCUGGCAC
rnacentral:rRNA from 1 species